GACUACUGGGGUAUCUAAUCCCGUUCGCUACCCACGCUUUCGUGCUUCAGUGUCAGAUAAGCGCCAGUUAGCUGCCUUCGCCUUCGGUAUUCCCCAUGAUAUCAACGGAUUUCACCCCUACACCAUGAGUUCUGCUAACCUCUCACUCUCUCUAGUCUAGCCGUUUCGCUUGCAUUUUCCCGGUUAGGCCGGGAGCUUUAACAAACGACUAACUAGACCACCUACGCACCCUUUAUGCCCAGUAAUUCCGGAUAACGCUUGGGGCACUCGUUUUACCGCUGCUGCUGGCACGAGUUUUGCAGCCCCUUAUUCAUCAGGUACCGUCAUCCCGCUAAAGCGGGAUUCUUCCCUAAUAAAAGAUGUUUACGUCCCGAAGAACUUCAUCCAUCACGCGGCGUCGCUCCGUCAGACUUUCGUCCAUUGCGGAAGAUUCUCGACUGCAGCCCCCCGUAGG
rnacentral:rRNA from 1 species